AGAGGCAGGCAGAUCACUAUGAGUUCGAGGCCAGCCUGGUCUAUAGAGCUGGUUCCAGGACAGCCAGGACUACACAGAGAAAUCCUGUCUUGAAAA
ensembl:miRNA predicted gene, 26318